AACCAAUCUCAGUUCGGAUUGUAGGCUGCAACUCGCCUACAUGAAGUCGGAAUCGCUAGUAAUCGCGGAUCAGCAUGCCGCGGUGAAUACGUUCCCGGGCCUUGUACACACCGCCCGUCACACCACGGGAGUUUGCAACACCCGAAGUCGGUGAGGUAACCGCAAGGAGCCAGCCGCCGAAGGUGGGGUAGAUAACUGGGGUGAAGUCGUAACAAGGUAUCCGUACCGGAAGGUGCGGAUGGAUCACCUCCUUUCUAUGGAGA
rnacentral:rRNA from 1 species